GCGUGGCCUAUCGAUCCUU
rnacentral:snRNA from 1 species